UACAGAGGGUGCAAGCGUUGUCCGGAAUUACUGGGCGUAAAAGAGCUCGUAGGCGGUUUGUCGCGUCUGCUGUGAAAACUGGAGGCUCAACCUCCAGCCUGCAGUGGGUACGGGCAGACUAGAGUGCGGUAGGGGAGAUUGGAAUUCCUGGUGUAGCGGUGGAAUGCGCAGAUAUCAGGAGGAACACCGAUGGCGAAGGCAGAUCUCUGGGCCGUAACUGACGCUGAGGAGCGAAAGCAUGGGGAGCGAACAGG
rnacentral:rRNA from 1 species